GGAUGACGUAGCCUGACGUCGGACUUUCUCGACUCAUUUCCUGGCAUUUGAAAUGCCAGGAAAUGAGUCGAGGAAGUCCGACCUCAGGCUACGUCAUC
rnacentral:miRNA from 1 species